AGAGUUUGAUCCUGGCUCAGGAUGAACGCUGGCGGCGUGCCUAACACAUGCAAGUCGAGCGAAGCACUUUGCUUAGAUUCUUCGGAUGAAGAGGAUUGUGACUGAGCGGCGGACGGGUGAGUAACGCGUGGGUAACCUGCCUCAUACAGGGGGAUAACAGUUAGAAAUGACUGCUAAUACCGCAUAAGACCACAGCACCGCAUGGUGCGGGGGUAAAAACUCCGGUGGUAUGAGAUGGACCCGCGUCUGAUUAGCUAGUUGGUAAGGUAACGGCUUACCAAGGCGACGAUCAGUAGCCGACCUGAGAGGGUGACCGGCCACAUUGGGACUGAGACACGGCCCAAACUCCUACGGGAGGCAGCAGUGGGGAAUAUUGCACAAUGGGGGAAACCCUGAUGCAGCGACGCCGCGUGAGCGAAGAAGUAUUUCGGUAUGUAAAGCUCUAUCAGCAGGGAAGAAAAUGACGGUACCUGACUAAGAAGCACCGGCUAAAUACGUGCCAGCAGCCGCGGUAAUACGUAUGGUGCAAGCGUUAUCCGGAUUUACUGGGUGUAAAGGGAGCGUAGACGGAUGGGCAAGUCUGAUGUGAAAACCCGGGGCUCAACCCCGGGACUGCAUUGGAAACUGUUCAUCUAGAGUGCUGGAGAGGUAAGUGGAAUUCCUAGUGUAGCGGUGAAAUGCGUAGAUAUUAGGAGGAACACCAGUGGCGAAGGCGGCUUACUGGACGGUAACUGACGUUGAGGCUCGAAAGCGUGGGGAGCAAACAGGAUUAGAUACCCUGGUAGUCCACGCCGUAAACGAUGAUU
rnacentral:rRNA from 1 species